rnacentral:lncRNA from 1 species
CUAUUAUAAUUGUACACAUGUUAUAUCGUAUAACUUCUAUUCCUCUAAGGUGGAAUCUUAGCAGAGGAUGCCUGUGACUAAAAUGCACUAGAUCACCAUCACAAAGACCAGGCACUUUUGACACACGAUUUCCCUCUUUUCUUGUUGCUUCUUUUUGUAUCGUUUUUUUCCUCUGCCUAAAUCUAUAUAGAACAACUUGUUGAUCUUCUGCUUGAGAAGCAUUUGAUAUUUUGUUCUUAGAUAUUUCUAUCUCUCCUUCUUUGGGUUGGGAUACAUUUGGCGGCUAAUGAGUUAACAACUGAAGCAGGAAUUUGGGCAGACAAUAAGCGAAAAUAAUAACCGGUAGCCAUAUAGAAAGGCCUAGUAAGAAAUCAAAUUCCAAGUUGUUAUCAUCAAAGCGCAAGUACAACAUCUUUUUCUCAUUCUGCAUCAACUGAUAUCAGUAUUACUCUUUGAGUCAUGCUUCAAGAC